GGCGAGUCACAGUACAUUGGUAGAUAAUGUCAAUCUGGUCAGGUCGGGAACGAAGCAGCCAAAGCGUUUGAUAGCAAGUGUAUUUAAGUGACUCGCAUUU
rnacentral:SRP_RNA from 1 species